AGUGAACGCUGGCGGUAGGCCUAACACAUGCAAGUCGAACGGCAGCACAGGAGAGCUUGCUCUCUGGGUGGCGAGUGGCGGACGGGUGAGGAAUACAUCGGAAUCUACUCUGUCGUGGGGGAUAACGUAGGGAAACUUACGCUAAUACCGCAUACGACCUACGGGUGAAAGCAGGGGACCUUCGGGCCUUGCGCGAUUGAAUGAGCCGAUGUCGGAUUAGCUAGUUGGCGGGGUAAGGGCCCACCAAGGCGACGAUCCGUAGCUGGUCUGAGAGGAUGAUCAGCCACACUGGAACUGAGACACGGUCCAGGCUCCUACGGGAGGCAGCAGUGGGGAAUAUUGGACAAUGGGCGCAAGCCUGAUUCAGCCAUACCGCGUGGGUGAAGAAGGCCUUCGGGUUGUAAAGCCCUUUUGUUGGGAAAGAAAUCCAGCUGGCUAAUACCCGGUUGGGAUGACGGUACCCAAAGAAUAAGCACCGGCUAACUUCGUGCCAGCAGCCGCAGUAA
rnacentral:rRNA from 1 species